GAAGGUAUAGCUCAGUGGUAGAGCGCAUGCUUAGAGUGUACGAGGUCCUGGAUUCAAUCGCCAAUACCUCCA
rnacentral:tRNA from 1 species